rnacentral:rRNA from 1 species
AUGACGCCAACGAGCGGCAAUACCACAGACGAAGCUCGGGGAAUCAGGCACGAGCUGCAAGAAGAACCAACCGUAGCAGCUCCGCUUUGGACAUGGGUACGUCCACGCUAUGCCGUCGAGGACGAUCUGGGCUUCACCGUCCACCACUGCCCGGGGCCGCUGCCGCGGCGGCAGCGAGGCGACCACCCCGGGCAAGCCAUGACCGGAGGCCACCACCGAAUGUACCCGGCCCGAUCUGCCCGAUCCUCCACGACAUCCUAUGCACGCCGCCGCCACCAGCCGGCCAUCCCGCCGCCCAGAUCUAGAUCGGCCGCGCCUCCUCGCGGGAUGAGGUCCGCCCCACCUCCUCCAUCACGAGUAGGAGGGGAUCCUCCGCCAACACCGCCGGCCACCCAGCUUAGCCCGACGGCGUCCUACGGCGGCGACAAAGGGAGGGGACGAUGGACGGAGGAGCCUGGCGGCUAG